rnacentral:rRNA from 1 species
ACGCUGGCGGCAGGCCUAACACAUGCAAGUCGAGCGGCAGCACGGGUACUUGUACCUGGUGGCGAGCGGCGGACGGGUGAGUAAUGCCUAGGAAUCUGCCUGGUAGUGGGGGAUAACGCUCGGAAACGGACGCUAAUACCGCAUACGUCCUACGGGAGAAAGCAGGGGACCUUCGGGCCUUGCGCUAUCAGAUGAGCCUAGGUCGGAUUAGCUAGUUGGUGAGGUAAUGGCUCACCAAGGCGACGAUCCGUAACUGGUCUGAGAGGAUGAUCAGUCACACUGGAACUGAGACACGGUCCAGACUCCUACGGGAGGCAGCAGUGGGGAAUAUUGGACAAUGGGCGAAAGCCUGAUCCAGCCAUGCCGCGUGUGUGAAGAAGGUCUUCGGAUUGUAAAGCACUUUAAGUUGGGAGGAAGGGCAUUUACCUAAUACGUAAGUGUCUUGACGUUACCGACAGAAUAAGCACCGGCUAACUCUGUGCCAGCAGCCGCGGUAAUACAGAGGGUGCAAGCGUUAAUCGGAAUUACUGGGCGUAAAGCGCGCGUAGGUGGUUCGUUAAGUUGGAUGUGAAAUCCCCGGGCUCAACCUGGGAACUGCAUUCAAAACUGUCGAGCUAGAGUAUGGUAGAGGGUGGUGGAAUUUCCUGUGUAGCGGUGAAAUGCGUAGAUAUAGGAAGGAACACCAGUGGCGAAGGCGACCACCUGGACUGAUACUGACACUGAGGUGCGAAAGCGUGGGGAGCAAAC